GCCUAUCACCAGACCACCCUGAACACACCUGUUCUGGUCUGAUCUUGGAAGCUAAGUAGGGUCGGGCCUGGUUGGUACUUGGAUGGGAGAAUUACAUCUUCAAAGACAAGGCUCUGUUAAAGGGG
rnacentral:rRNA from 1 species